UGUAAGAGUGUUUGAAUUCACUUUUUAAAAAUAAUUUAUAAAUUAAAAGCUAAAAGUCUUGAGAGUAUAUAAUUUUUUAUUUCUAGCUUAUUUUUGUGCUCUUUUGAUCUAAAAGUAAGUGUAAUAGAUAAGCCUAAAAAAAAGAGUUAAAAUAACUCAAGGCAAAGACCGUAGUGACCCUGAUGAGAAGCUAAAUUGGGUAGAAACGGAGUAAAUGUAGGUGCGUACAUUGGAGAGAGAUGACAAGGGGAAAGCAAAAGAUAGAGGCCCAGCGGAAAAAUGCUGAGAAAAAUCAGAAAGGCAAAGGAUCUCAACUUGAAGCCCGUGCUGUUGGCCUCAAAGUCAUCUGUCCCAUUUGUAAGGCGCAGCUAGCAAAUCAAAACCAACUUGUUGAUCACUAUGGCUCCAAGCAUCCAAAGGAAAAGCCUCCAAGUAACUCGGAAUAACAUGUCCUGUUUCUUGGGAAAUUGCUUGCUUUUGUUCUCAAACCUUUGAAUUAGUAAAUACUCUGUUAAAAAAGCAGAGUCCAAGCUGAUGGUGGUUGCUUUGUGAAAUAGAAUGAACAUUAUGUGAAUACUGUAAACUAGAAAACAAUAAAAGUUCAAACACUGAUGUUUUGUUUC